rnacentral:tRNA from 2 species
GUCAAGUUAGUUUAAGUAUAAAACAUCAGCUUGUGGAUUUGAAAAUGAAAUCGAUUUUUCACUUGACC